UACGGAGGGUGCGAGCGUUGUUCGGAAUUACUGGGCGUAAAGCGCGUGUAGGCGGCCUUCUAAGUCUGGUGUGAAAGCCCGGGGCUCAACCCCGGAAGUGCAUUGGAUACUGGGAGGCUGGAGUACCGGAGAGGAGGGUGGAAUUCCUGGUGUAGCGGUGAAAUGCGUAGAUAUCAGGAGGAACACCGGUGGCGAAGGCGGCCCUCUGGACGGAUGACUGACGCUGAGACGCGAAGGCGUGGGGAGCAAACGGG
rnacentral:rRNA from 1 species